CAAAAACAUCACCAACUCAUCAUUACCAAUGAGGAUUGAUGCUGUCAAAUGGCGAGGAAAAGGUUGCAGACUCAAAUACUGAGUAUUUAAAAGCGAAAGGGAGCCGAGCAUUCACCUUGCUCAGCAUCAGUGAACAUGGCUAUGGCUAACGAGUCGAAAACAGUACGCAGAAAUGGAGAGCUAAGCGAAUGAUAGCUAGAUGGUAGGAAGGCGUGACAGGCCGCAUCCUGAACUUGUAUUUGGAUUUGAAGGAUUGGUCAUCUACACUACUAAUGUGAAAGGCAAUCAAAAAGAUGCGAUUGGGAAAUAAAAUCCAUCUCCCUCCGCUGUCGGGGAAACACAUAUUUUGACUCAUUGACAUCUGUCAAAAUUCAAAGGUGCGACAUAUUGAGACCUAGGUCUCUUUUUCAAUUGUGCCCUGGAUAAUACAACAUAAAUAUACACAUUGUUAUCAAAACCAUGUAUAAUUUGUUUUGUGG
ensembl:lncRNA